UACCGGCGGCUCGAGUGGUGGCCGCUUUUACUGGGCUUAAAGGGUCCGUAGCUGGAUCUGUGUGUCCCUUGAGAAAUCCAUCGGCUUAACUGAUGGGCGUUCAGGGGAAACUGCAGUUCUAGGGACCGGGAGAGGUGAGAGGUACUGCCGGGGUAGGAGUGAAAUCCUGUAAUCCCGGUGGGACGACCUAUGGCGAAGGCAUCUCACCAGAACGGCUCCGACAGUGAGGGACGAAAGCUGGGGGAGCAAA
rnacentral:rRNA from 1 species